rnacentral:rRNA from 1 species
UACGAAGGGGGGCUAGCGUUGCUCGGAAUCACUGGGCGUAAAGGGUGCGUAGGCGGGUCUUUAAGUCAGGGGUGAAAUCCUGGAGCUCAACUCCAGAACUGCCUUUGAUACUGAGGAUCUUGAGUUCGGGAGAGGUGAGUGGAACUGCGAGUGUAGAGGUGAAAUGCGUAGAUAUCGGGAAGGAACACCUGUGGCGAAAGCGGCUCACUGGACCAUUACUGACGCUGAGGCACGAAAGCUAGGGGAGCAAACAGG